UUUGUUGCGGUGAGAUAAUAUUAUAAUAUUUACUUCACUGACCGUCAAAAAUAGUAGGCUGUGAUCAUUGCAUUUUAUUUAACAGCAUAUAUUGCAACGUUUAUGGAACGUAGAGAUAAAAAUAAUUUGGAAGGCGAUUAAUAAUGCAAAAGUGUGGAUUUGGCUGUCGAUUUUAACUCACUUCAAUAAGGAGGAGGUUAUCAUUUCGGGGAAAACAACGUAACCUUCUAUAGUUGGUGCCAAGCCAAAAGUAACACUUGCCGCCACCUGGAGCAGGAUGGUUUCGUCUUGAGGUGGCGUUUGGUGGUUUUUUAGUCAGUAGGAAUCUGACAUAAUCCUCUGGCGGCCCCGCGCCGGUGGGUAUCCAUGAUGGAUUUUUCCCCCGUAAAAAGAAAAAAAAUAAAGUAUGGUUUCGUCUAGAACUAAACAACAUAAACGUAGUAGGAAUUUCAUUACAGUAAUUUACCAGUUAUUAAAUAUUAAGUUAAGCUGUUUAUAAUAUUAAGUUUUAUUUUGUUAGUGACUUCAAACCUCGAAGUAGGUAGCGCAUAAAAAUAGUAGUAUUUUAUUUAAAGUGUUUGAAAUAAAAGCUUUAUUAAGCU